AGAAAUUUCAGUUUUUGUCCGGUGCCUGAUCCUCCAAUUUCUUCGGUCCCAAAAACAAUUUUAAAAUCAAACACAGCACAACUAAAGUUGUAACGUCUAGUCACUUAUUUUGUUUAGCUAAUUAAAGGCACUCAAAAUGUGAUAUUAUGUGAAUUCAAUUCAAUAUAGGUCAUAUUGAGUACUGUUAAGACUUUAAUAUGCAAAAUAAGGUACUACACAUAGAAAUCUUGAAUUUAGUAUUAUUAGGAGCAUAACAGUGUAAGUAACAAACAAAGAGAUGAAAAGAGAAGAGACAAGUACAUAGGGAGAGUAGUGGUCGAGAGUUUGGGAAAACCAUAAUUCUUCCUUGGUCAGAUAAUUGUUGCUGUUUCCAGUUUUAGAUUCAGACAAACGAUGUUGUAGCGAACGAGGUGUUGCAUCCACCGUAGAGAAGAACAGUAGUAACAGAAACACCGACAAACACGGUAACUUCGUCAUCGUCCAACACUGUCUCAUCUUUUCCACGUGUUCUACUAACCUUUGAAAAUGAAUUAACGAGGAUUUUGACUUUUGACUAGAGAAAUAAAUAAAUUAGAAAAUGUUAUUUUUUACUAGUAAAAUUUAAAAUAUGGAAGAGGAAAAAAAA
rnacentral:lncRNA from 1 species